ACACAUGCAAGUCGAACGAGAAAGCGUCCUUCGGGAUGUGAGUAAAGUGGCGCACGGGUGAGUAACGCGUGGGUAACCUACCCCUUAAUCUGGAAUAACUUCGCGAAAGCGUUGCUAAUACCGGAUGCUGUCCAGAGGGCUGUGGCUCUUUGGAUGAAAGGUGACCUCUCCAUGGAAGUUGCCGUUUAGGGUUGGGCUCGCGUCCCAUUAGCUUGUUGGUAGGGUAAUGGCCUACCAAGGCAAUGAUGGGUAGCUGGUCUGAGAGGAUGAUCAGCCACACUGGCACUGAAACACGGGCCAGACUCCUACGGGAGGCAGCAGUGAGGAAUUUUGCGCAAUGGGGGAAACCCUGACGCAGCAACGCCGCGUGAGUGAAGAAGGCCUUCGGGUCGUAAAGCUCUGUCAGGUGGGAAAAAACACUUUCGGUCAAUAGCCGAAAGGAUUGAUGGUACCGCCAGAGGAAGCACCGGCUAACCCCGUGCCAGCAGCCGCGGUAAUACGGAGGGUGCAAGCGUUAUCCGGAAUCACUGGGCGUAAAGGGCGCGUAGGCGGUCUGUUAAGUCCGAUGUUAAAGCCCGGGGCUCAACCCCGGCACGGCGUUGGAUACUGGCAGGCUUGACGGCUGGAGAGGCGAGUGGAAUUACCAGUGUAGCGGUGGAAUGCGUAGAUACUGGUAGGAACACCUAUGGCGAAGGCAGCUCGCUGGACAGCAC
rnacentral:rRNA from 1 species